UAGUCCACGCCGUAAACGAUGUUCACUCGCUGUUGGCGAUAUACUGUCAGCGGCCAAGCGAAAGCAUUAAGUGAACCACCUGGGGAGUACGAUCGCAAGGUUGAAACUCAAAGGAAUUGACGGGGGCCCGCACAAGCGGUGGAGCAUGUGGAUUAAUUCGAUGAUACGCGAGGAACCUUACCUGGGCUCUAAUGCGCGCGCUAUCUGCUGAAAGGCGGAGUUCCUUCGGGACGCAAAGCAAGGUGCUGCAUGGUUGUCGUCAGCUCGUGCCGUGAGGUGUUGGGUUAAGUCCCGCAACGAGCGCAACCCCUAUUUUUAGUUGCCAGCACAUAAUGGUGGGGACUCUAGAAAGACUGCCGGCGCAAGCCGAGAGGAAGGUGGGGAUGACGUCAAAUCAUCAUGGCCUUUAUGCCCAGGGCUACACACGUGCUACAAUGGACAGGACAAAGGGUCGCCAAACCGCGAGGUGGGGCUAAUCCCAGAAACCUGUUCUCAGUUCGGAUUG
rnacentral:rRNA from 1 species